UUCGGACCAAGAGACCGGCGCACGGGUGCGUAACGCGUAUGUAAUCUACCUUUUACAGAGGGAUAGCCCAGAGAAAUUUGGAUUAAUACCUCAUAGUAUAUAGAGUUGGCAUCAACACUAUAUUAAAGUCACAACGGUAAAAGAUGAGCAUGCGUCCCAUUAGCUAGUUGGUAAGGUAACGGCUUACCAAGGCAACGAUGGGUAGGGGUCCUGAGAGGGAGAUCCCCCACACUGGUACUGAGACACGGACCAGACUCCUACGGGAGGCAGCAGUGAGGAAUAUUGGUCAAUGGGCGCAAGCCUGAACCAGCCAUGCCGCGUGCAGGAUGACGGUCCUAUGGAUUGUAAACUGCUUUUGUACGGGAAGAAACCCUCCUACGAGUAGGAGCUUGACGGUACCGUAAGAAUAAGGAUCGGCUAACUCCGUGCCAGCAGCCGCGGUAAUACGGAGGAUCCAAGCGUUAUCCGGAAUCAUUGGGUUUAAAGGGUCCGUAGGCGGUUUAGUAAGUCAGUGGUGAAAGCCCAUCGCUCAACGGUGGAACGGCCAUUGAUACUGCUAGACUUGAAUUAUUAGGAAGUAACUAGAAUAUGUAGUGUAGCGGUGAAAUGCUUAGAGAUUACAUGGAAUACCAAUUGCGAAGGCAGGUUACUACUAAUGGAUUGACGCUGAUGGACGAAAGCGU
rnacentral:rRNA from 1 species